rnacentral:tRNA from 2 species
GACGAGGUGGCCGAGUGGUUAAGGCGAUGGACUGCUAAUCCAUUGUGCAUUGCAUUCGUGGGUUCGAAUCCCACCCUCGUCG